rnacentral:rRNA from 1 species
UUUGAUUAUGGCUUAAGACGAACGCUGGCGGCGUUGCUUAACACAUUGCAAGUCGAACGAUGAAGCCUAGCUUUGCUAGGUGGAUUAGUUGGCGAACGGGUGAGUAAUACGUGAGUGACCUACCUUUGACUCUGGGAUAAGCCUGGGAAACUGGGUCUAAUACCGGAUACGACCAAUCUCCGCAUGGGGUGUUGGUGGAAAGCGUUAUGGAGUGGUUUUAGAUGGGCUCACGGCCUAUCAGCUUGUUGGUGAGGUAAUGGCUUACCAAGGCGACGACGGGUAGCCGGCCUGAGAGGGUGACCGGCCACACUGGGACUGAGACACGGCCCAGACUCCUACGGGAGGCAGCAGUGGGGAAUAUUGCACAAUGGGCGCAAGCCUGAUGCAGCGACGCCGCGUGAGGGAUGACGGCCUUCGGGUUUGUAAACCUCUGUUAGCAUCGAAGAAAGCGAAAGUGACGGUAGGUGCAGAGAAAGCGCCAGCUAACUACGUGCCAGCAGCCGCGGUAAUACGUAGGGCGCGAGCGUUGUCCGGAAUUAUUGGGCGUAAAGAGCUUGUAGGCGGUUGGUCGCGUCUGCCUGUGAAAGGCUGGGGCUUAACCCUGGUUUUGCAGUGGGUACGGGCUAACUAGAGUGCAGUAGGGGAGACUGGAAUUCCUGGUGUAGCGGUGGAAUGCGCAGAUAUCAGGAGGAACACCGAUGGCGAAGGCAGGUCUCUGGGCUGUAACUGACGCUGAGAAGCGAAAGCAUGGGGAGCGAACAGGAUUAGAUACCCUGGUAGUCCAUGCCGUAAACGUUGGGCACUAGGUGUGGGGGACAUUCCACGUUUUCCGCGCCGUAGCUAACGCAUUAAGUGCCCCGCCUGGGGAGUACGGCCGCAAGGCUAAAACUCAAAGAAAUUGACGGGGGCCCGCACAAGCGGCGGAGCAUGCGGAUUAAUUCGAUGCAACGCGAAGAACCUUACCAAGGCUUGACAUAUACUGGACUGCGUCAGAGAUGGCGUUUCCCUUCGGGGCUGGUAUACAGGUGGUGCAUGGUUGUCGUCAGCUCGUGUCGUGAGAUGUUGGGUUAAGUCCCGCAACGAGCGCAACCCUCGUUCUAUGUUGCCAGCACGUGAUGGUGGGGACUCAUAGGAGACUGCCGGGGUCAACUCGGAGGAAGGUGGGGAUGACGUCAAAUCAUCAUGCCCCUUAUGUCUUGGGCUUCACGCAUGCUACAAUGGCCGGUACAGAGGGUUGCGAUACUGUGAGGUGGAGCUAAUCCCUAAAAGCCGGUCUCAGUUCGGAUUGGGGUCUGCAACUCGACCCCAUGAAGUCGGAGUCGCUAGUAAUCGCAGAUCAGCAACGCUGCGGUGAAUACGUUCCCGGGCCUUGUACACACCGCCCGUCA